UGUCUGGACAUAUCAGUCCUUGCCUGGACAUAGACAAUUCAGGACAAGUUACUAUUUGUUUGCUCCAUUUAUUUUUUUUACACUGACAUGCUUCGUACUCAAUUGGAAAGAUAUCCAUCUCAAAUACUGAUGACAACAAAACUGCAGAAUACAACUCAUUUCUCUUGUGUAGGUUCAAGAGCAUUGUCCUUCACAAAUUUUGGGGAGGGGGCACAAGUACGAAACAACUGCCACCCAGAACCUGUGAAUAGGCUCAAGUCAUGCAGUCCCAAGAUUUUAUAUUAUCUGAUGGUAGUUAGGGCAGGGUUUGUGAAGAGGGAGAUUGUUGAUACAACUGUUGGAGUUUGGAGCCUCAACUAAAUUGCUCUAAUGGACUACUCCCUUUCCAUUGAGUCAGGGUUUGGCAUCUAGGCACCUUUGUGUUGAAAAAAGCAAACACAGACAUGAGGUCGAAAGUCAUAAAAGUUUGUACCUUGAGCGAGAAUAUAGUGGAAGAUAAACUUGGAAUAGUUUUCGGUAUUUGUAUUCCGUAUUCUUUAUAUUAACCUCAACUUCGUGCAAAAGCUAAAAGCCUACUUUCACAGCGGGAAAUGCUGGGUACAUGCUGUUUGACUUGUUGCUGAAAAUCCCGUGUCCAGGUUUAGGGUUUAGAGUGCCCCCUUGGACUAGGAGUGAAGCAACUACUGUGCAAUCAAGUCAAGGUCUUAAUCCUGCUUGCUUCUCUGCAACCAGUCAAGUGCGAUGAGCAUUGAAUCAUUCUGAGAUGCGUCAGACUAUAUAUAUUUUUAUAUUUAUAUUUGUAAGUAGUACUUUCUGUGCAAUGGGUACAAAUUGGCAAGUUGCAUCAUGUAAGCGAGUGAGUGACUGAGCCAAUCUAUUCGCAGAAGCCACCAAAUUAGUCUCUUGUUUUCUGCAUACAUUAUUUGCAUACAAAUCCGAAUAGGGUUUCAGCGAAGUGGUGCAAAGAGAGCCAUUAGGGUUGGGAUAUAAAGGUGGUGCCUCUCAAAACGAAGGUCAGAGUUGAUGAAUUUUGUCCGCUGUUCCUCACCUGCCGACUUUGUGGAAACAAUGCUUGUGAUUGCUUAAUGAUCAGCAUUUUUGGGGAGUGAGUUUUAUCCCGUGAAGAAGCACAAUUCCUUCUUAUUAAUUCGUUUCAGUUUGUUGCUUUUAUCCUAUUUUUUCGCUUGUAUUUAUGGUGGUUGAUGUUUUGUGUUGUCCUAGUGCUGUUGUCUCUUCAAAUAAAAACCCGGCCCAUGUCUGAAGAUUCAGAGCCUUCCAUCUCCGAGGAGCCCCUUUUUCCCAGACACAGGACAUGCAUGAUCGCACAGGUGGCAGUAGUUUUUGCAGUUCUAGAAGCCAGCUUCUGCAGGAUCACAGCUCUAUGUUAAAAAAUUUAUGGGUUUUUAUGUGUGGAUGCAUGGUGCCUAUCUAAUGACCAAUUGCGAUAAAUUAGCAUCUAAUUGAUGAGUGGACUUGGGCUGUCCCAUGGGGUACUGUGCAUGUUUCUGUAGGGUGCUUUCCUGCCUAAGGACAUUAUCUAUAUAAGUGGUGCUCCAGCUAGGCCUCAGCAGCAGCAGAAGAAAUGGUGCUUUUUCACUCUGCAGCCCUAAACCAUGGAGUCUUCAAAAGCUUCAGAAAUUACUGCAGGAUUUCAACAAUUCUUUAGUUACACCACAUCAAAUUCCUUUGCAUUGGAGAUGCUAUUCUAAGCACUAUGUGCAAGAGGUCACUGGGGACACAAUUCAAAGGCAUCACACAUGUCUGAACAUAGGUGCAAAAAAUGCACCAAGACAAAGCCAGUCGAUGAAUCCUUGACGACUCGCCUCACCGGAUGUUGAAUAGUUCCACCAAAAGAAAAAGAAAAAACCAUGUGAAAAGAAGACACAUGCAGAGAAUAACUAUGCAGAAUGUGAGGCUUCUGAGAUAAAAUUGCUGGAGACAACCGUUGAUCCAGCAGUCCUCAUGUACAGCUGCUUAGACACAAAAAAAAAGUUGCAACAAUGCAGAAAACAGGUGGCGAAACCGCGUGUCUCUCUUUAAUUGGUAUCCCUUAACUGCUCAGUUUCACAACCCUCAUGGCUCCGCCCAAAGCUUGAUUGAUUGUUUGUUUGUUGGUGGCUUGUUGUGUGCAAGCAAUGUUCUCGAAGGGUGUGCCAUCUGCUUGGCGAAUACGUCUCUUAAGCUCUCUCUUUCUCACACACAUACACUCUCUCCUGCUGACUCACAAUCUUAUCCCAAAGCUCUCAUGUGCGUCAUGAAGCAGCAAUCCA